CCUACGGGUGGCAGCAGUAGGGAAUAUUGCUCAAUGGGGGAAACCCUGAAGCAGCAACGCCGCGUGGAGGAUGAAGGUUUUCGGAUUGUAAACUCCUUUUGUUAGAGAAGAUAAUGACGGUAUCUAACGAAUAAGCACCGGCUAACUCCGUGCCAGCAGCCGCGGUAAUACGGAGGGUGCCAGCGUUACACGGAAUCACUGGGCGUAAAGAGCGCGUAGGCGGGAUAGCAAGUCAGAUGUGAAAUUCUGUGGCUUAACCAUAGAACUGCAGUUGAAACUGUUAGUCUAGAGUAUGGGAGAGGUAGGUGGAAUUCUUGGUGUAGGGGUGAAAUGCGUAGAGAUCAAGAGGAAUACUCAUUGCGAAGGCGACCUGCUGGAACGUAACUGACGCUGAUGCGCGAAAGCGUGGGGAGCAAACAGGAUUAGAUACCCGAGUAGUC
rnacentral:rRNA from 1 species